rnacentral:rRNA from 1 species
UUUCAACAACGGAUCUCUUGGUUCCRGCAUCGAURAARAACGCASCGAAAUGCGAUAAGUAAUGUGAAUUGCAGAAUUCAGUGAAUCAUCGAAUCUUUGAACGCACAUUGCGCCCCUCGGUAUUCCGGGGGGCAUGCCUGUUCGAGCGUCAUUGCA